rnacentral:ncRNA from 2 species
UACGGAGGGUGCAAGCGUUAUCCGGAAUCACUGGGUUUAAAGGGUGCGUAGGCGGAUGAUUAAGUCAGUGGUGAAAGCUGGUCGCUUAACGAUCAAACUGCCAUUGAUACUGAUUGUCUUGAAUUGGGUUGAGGUUAGCGGAAUGUGACAUGUAGCGGUGAAAUGCAUAGAUAUGUCAUGGAACACCAAUUGCGAAGGCAGCUAACUGGGCCUUGAUUGACGCUGAGGCACGAAAGCGUGGGUAGCGAACAGG